GACGAACGCUGGCGGCGUGCUUAACACAUGCAAGUCGAACGGAAAGGCCCUGCUUUUGUGGGGUGCUCGAGUGGCGAACGGGUGAGUAACACGUGAGUAACCUGCCCUUGACUUUGGGAUAACUUCAGGAAACUGGGGCUAAUACCGGAUAGGAGCUCCUGCUGCAUGGUGGGGGUUGGAAAGUUUCGGCGGUUGGGGAUGGACUGGCGGCUUAUCAGCUUGUUGGUGGGGUAGUGGCUUACCAAGGCUUUGACGGGUAGCCGGCCUGAGAGGGUGACCGGGGACAUGGGGACUGAGAGACGGCCCAGACUGGUACGGGAGGCAGCAGUGGGGAAUAUUGCACAGUGGGCGGAAGCCUGAUGCAGCAACGCCGCGGGCGGGAUGACGGCCUUCGGGUUGUAAACCGCUUUCGCCUGUGACGAAGCGUGAGUGACGGUAAUGGGUAAAGAAGCACCGGCUAACUACGUG
rnacentral:rRNA from 1 species